UGGCCGCGAACCGUUCCUCAGACCCCUUAUUUUACUCCUCGGGAGCACCGUACGCUCCUCCUGCAAAAUAUCUACCGCCCUACCGUCGCUCCUUCUCUCUUCGUGGUUGGCUUGCUUUCAGAUCAAUGGCCGGAAAACCCUCGGAGGGAAGGAGGAGAGAGAGAAGAAUUGGUGCUGGCCCUCGUUGCCGAAUGACGGAAAUCUGAGAUCUUUCAAGAGGGGAGGAACUAGCCUGAGGCAGCAACUGCAUAACUUGCAAGAAGAUCUGGGGUAUAGUGAGCAUACCUAUGAUUUUCUUGCAAGUUAUGCAGUUGCUGCCUCAAGCUCGCUGCCUCCCUUUGCCAGAACUGGUGAGUAGAAAGCACAAUACUCUUACAAUGUUGAUAUGCAGUUUUUAAAACUUCAGUAACUAGCUCCAAAGGCAAACAUGUUUUAGAGGUGAGCUGUUUGAUCAAAUGUAACAAUAAAGACCCGCAGAUCUUAAAAGAAGUCCAUGCAGAAGUUCUAGAAAUGACAACUCUGAUUGGUGCGGUAGUUGACAUGAAGAUCUUCGCAGAGCAUUUGCUUUUACAUCCUGGAGACAAUAACUGUACAAGCAUAUUUUUAUGAUGCAAGAUUAGUCUAAACAUGCCAAUGCAGGUUAUAGCCAGGUUAGAUCAACUGAUCUAACACCUAAAAAUAUCCUUCAUCUUUGUCUUAGAAGAUGAAAUUUUAAAAAGGCAAAGUAAUCUCUUGUUUUUUUUUUUUCUUUUUGAGUUUCAUGUACCAAACUCAUGCAGAUCUAUGGCCAAACCAAAAUGGGUCCAGUCCAUGAUAACACAGUUUGUUGGUGUGUACCAUGGUACCAAGAAGGGGGAAGGGAGAAGUAGGAGAAGAGGAGGCAAAGGAUAGGGGAGGAGGAAGAUGAGACAAAUGAGGAAGAUGAUGAGGAAAGUAUAGGGAGAUCAGAUGGGUCAGCAGUGAUUGGCUGUGGCCAUCGGCGGGUAGGCAACAGGCGGACAUGAUAGUAGUGGCAGCAUGCGUAGGGGAGAGGGUGCUGGAGGUAAUUGUAGGGUCAGGGAGCUAUGAAUAGCAAAUUGCAUGACCCCCUGCCCUAAGAUUUGUCACUCAUAUUGAAAAAAUAAAUCAGACCAGGAUUGCCCAAAAGGGGGCAGUAUGUAUUGGUUUGGGCAAAAUGGUGAUCCUUGAUCUGACCCUUCAUUUUAUUUGAAUUCAACAACUUAUGGAGGAAUUAGAAAGAUUUUGAACUCGAAUUGUGUAAAUAUGUUAAUAUACUGAAUAUGGUUUAGAAUACAUUGAAUCCUGAUUCUAAAUAUUAGAGGAUAAUAAUUCCAAAUACUAGGAACUGUGGUUCCUAGGAAGCUUCAGAAUCAUGGAGAUUCAGAAGCACUUGUAUUUAGGUUUCUCUUUGAUUCCCACUACUGCAGAUAGGGCUAGGCUAAAGGAGUGAGAAAAGGUCGUUAAGGCUCCAAAUAGAUAAUCUCAAAUCUGUUGAAGAUAUUGAAUGAGAAUGACGACAACAACAAUAUAUGAAUCAUAAUACUCAUGUGCAUAAUAUCUAAAUGAAAUAUAAUUUGCAACAAAAACAAGAACAACACCAAGUCAUAUAUCCCAACUAUAUGGUAAAUAAAUGGAAAGAAGACAAAAUAAUACAUAUGAACUUAUAAUAAUACAUGAUGAUAACCCAAUAUUUUAAACAAAAUAUGUUAUGUGUCCAAAGCAAUAUAACUCCAUCUUAUAAGCUUAAAAUCACAUUGUGAUAGAUGGGGUUGGGGGGUCUACAAGAACGUAUUCCAAAUGCUAGUUUAUUGUUAUGUCAGUAGGUUGGAUCUAUGUCAGAUUGUGUUUCAUGUUACGUCGAUAUAUUGGAUCUCUGCUAGAUGGUUUAUGUGGAUAAAGUGAGGAUUCCCACUUGAAUUAUGGGCUAGAUUUAGAAGUAGUCGAGUCUGAAAAAAGAACAUAUGCUUAGUUGUAUACAACUUAUAUCGAACGAAUGUCGACCUGUAACAGUUUGGUAUGCCAUGGUCCACUUUCAGUACAGAGUAUUUUACAAAUACAGGACAUUAUGUAUUCCAAUAUUGACUGUACCAGUACAUACCGCCUGCACUGACUGUAACAGUUGGUGUGCCACGGUCCACUUUCAGUAGAGUAUUUUACAGGUACAGGACAUUAUGUAUCCCAAUAUUCACUGGACCAGUACAUACCACCUGCAUCGACCAGUAUGGUAAUCUAAGAUCAUGAUUAUCUACUUAUAGUGGCCUGGAAAAUUGUCUUUUGUGCACCGGAAGAUUUCAUAGAGCUAAUCCAACAUUUUUGCAAGAUGUCCAGGAUCCAUUCUUCAUGUUAGACACAUGUGAAAGCUCUUUGUUCACAAUCAAUUACCAAUACUCGUACAAGAUCCUCAAACAAGAAGCACAAGGGGAUAUACUACUAUCUACAGUACAUUGUGAAAGGAGAAGCAACUUUGCAGUUUUCUAGUUUGCUAUAAUGUCUUAUUCAUCUUCAAGCCUAGCCAGAUUUAGGAGCAGUUUCUUAGGCAACCUAGUGACGUUAUGGAGAACAUCCAUGAAUGAUAUGACAUUGGGAUCAAUCAUAGACCAUUGUAUGUAGUUUUCUGAGAUACUUCUGUAGCAAGAAUAUAUCCUAUAUCAGAAAUAUAACUGUCAUAUUGUUUCCAAGAGCCUUAUUUUUAUCUUUUUUCUUUUUGGGUUACUCUAUAACUGAAGAAAGUUGACAUGUCAACAAAUAUACCAAUAGAACAAACAGCAGCAGUCCAGAACUUGUAACUCAGAAAGGAUAAAAUUCAUGAAGGUUGCAGUGGAAGGGAACUUAGUUGUAUGGAAAGAUGCUGCUCCUUUGCAUUUGGUUUUGCUACGAGCAUGAAUUUGCAUCUUUUUUUGCAAAUCUCUAGUAUUUUACUACUUUGUCAAAGAUAUGACUACCAUAUAGCUAUGUUGUAGUCUCUAUGUGGAUGCGCCAUUCUCUUGGCCCUACAACCCUUGUGGAUGGAGAAGUCCUCUUAAUGAGGCAGACAAAUUGUUGACUCAAGUGACCUGUUAUUAUUGUGAUAUCGUAGAAUGAGCAGAAGAUCUGACUUUGAUGAUAUCAAUGAAAGGAUCGAAAGUUUUCUACUGGAACUAAUUGAAUGAUCCAAAGAUUAGUUAAACAACAAUCUAAAUUUUUGAAAAUAUGGUUGGUUAGGAGGCGCACACUGGAAGCUACAAGUAACUUUGAGCUGAUUGUGAAAGCCAAACAGGAUAUAAGAUCUGGUUCUUAUAGUGAAAUCCUUCAAUUGAUUCCUAAGUCACAGAAGCUUCCAUGAUGAUAGUAAUUUAGCAUAUGGAAGUUGACUUGUCAAAUAUUAACAUACUCUUGAUGGACAUGAAUUGCCAACUUUGAUUUCUAACAUUGGCAACUGCACAUUUAGCUUCAAGAUCUGUUCCCUGCACCCCAAUAUAUCCAUUGUGGACAAGGGAUAGGUCAUCUCUAAUCAGAAAUGAACUAUUUGCAUUUUGGAUCUUCUUCAAAUUCUAUUGGUGAAAAAGAUUAAGCAGGACUAACUAUUAGAGAAUAAUUGUAUGAUUUUCAUCUUCA